AGCAGCUCCAGAAGCCAGCCAGCCAGCCAUGGGCUCCACCGCCGCCGACGUGGCCGCGGUCGCCGACGAGGAGGCGUGCAUGUACGCGCUGCAGCUGGUGUCGUCGUCCAUCCUGCCGAUGACGCUCAAGAACGCCAUCGAGCUGGGCCUGCUGGAGGUGCUCCAGAAGGACCCCGCGGCGGCGCUGUCGCCGGAGGAGGUGGUGGCGCGGCUCCCCGUGGCGCCGGCCAACCCCGACGCGCCGGUGAUGGUGGACCGCAUGCUGCGGCUGCUCGCCUCCUACGACGUCGUGAGGUGCCAGAUGGAGGACAAGGACGGCAA
rnacentral:lncRNA from 1 species